AAUUAAUUAAUUACAUCGCCAAUUUGUUGUUCUACAUAGUUGAGAGUCUCCUCCAACUCCAUAACCCAGAGUCGUAGAGAGUCUAAAAAGAGAUACAAAGAAAUGGGUUUUCUAAAAUCAAUGGAGGAUAAAUACCCUUUACUCGAUUCCAUCUUCCAGGAGUUUUGUGGGUCUCGUGGCAUUUACACUGUGGAAGAUUUCUUGAUUCAUGACCUCAAUGCCUUGAUUUUAUCUGCUGAAAAGAAACCAACUUCAGAGAGAUUAAAGCAGGGAAUUGAUCAACUUCUCUCUAUAGUCAAUGGUAUUCAUAAACCCUGGUUGAAUGGCGUCGAGUUAUUGAAUGAUGCUCAACAAAAUAAACAGACAUUAUCCCUUGCAUAUGAAGGGAUUGAUCCUUUUCUUCACGGGGCGUUAAGAGAGGGGUUUGUAACAGAACUAGUCGGACCAUCAUCAUCGGGUAAAACACAGGUUUGUCUUCAAGCCGCUGCAAGUGUUGCGAAGCGUUAUGCAGAUCGUGUUGCAUAUAUAGACUCUGGGAACUCCUUUUCUGCACCACGGAUUGCACACCUUGUCAAAAGAGCUUCAUAUUCUGCUCCGAAACAGGACAAUAAUGAAGCCCUACAUAUAAUCAUGAAGAACAUAUGGUGUUAUCCAGUAUUUGAUAUUUUUUCAUUGUUCGAUGUGCUACAUCAACUGGAAUUGAAAUUGAAAAGUCAGAUAUUUUCAGCGCGGCUGCUCAUUGUGGACUCUUUUUCAUCUCUCAUUAUUCCUCUUCUUGGAGGCAAUGGUCCUUAUGGACACGCUCUAAUGAUUUCUGCUGGAAAUUUGCUAAAGAAGAUAGCGCAUGAAUACAACAUUUGUGUACUGGUAAUAAUCAGUAAACCUGAUCCCAAUAUCUUAGGUGACGAAUCACAUGGUGGCUGGUGAAGGUGGUUCACCAAAACCAGCUCUUGGAGAAAGUUGGAAAAACGCCGUGCAUGUGAGGCUCCUCCUCUCUCGUGAUCAAGAGACCAACAUUUGCACUAGUACUGUUGUUAGACACCCAUCCGUGGCUGCUGGGAAUCAAGUGAAGUUCAAGAUUUGUGAUAGUUAGACUUCUUUUAACUCGGAAGUGAGUGCAUGACUUAUGAGGUGAGCUUAUCUAGGGUCAUUGAUAGAGAAAACUAUUGUAGUAAUAUGAUUUGAGUAAUGAGUAGUAAAGCUCAUACUCUGAUAGACCUACAUAAUCAGCUAUAGAUGAUUUGGUUAAUCAUAAACUUGUCUGUUAUAAGUUUAUAACUGUUGGGUGACCUUCAACUUAUGUCCGCAGCUUUUCCAGUACUGCCACAUGUACGGGUAGUUUUAAGCCGUUAACUGAUAUUAGAAACAUUAGAGAAAAAGGCGGUAUAACAUGAAUGUCCUUACCAGAGUAGCUUAUUUCUACACCUUAGUCUGUGCCUACGUAUGGUUUCUUAUGGCGUGGUUGGUUUCAUAUUGGAUCUUUUCAAUUCUGAGUUUAUAAGACUGAGUGGUAUACAGGGGUGGAGAGUCUAGGGGUUCUAGUUCCAAGGCUAUGGGGGUUGUUGCCUUGUUAGUAAGUAUAAAAUUUGUGCAGGAAACCGGAAAAACCUCUGUUGAGUCACUUGUACGUGAGGGCAUCGAGUCACAAGCAGAAGGGACUCUCUUUGUGGUAAUGAGCCAAAAAUCCCAUGUGUCUACUUUGAUUUUAGGUCCUCGAGUUUUGCGAGAUUCAAGUCUCAGCCACAGGUGCAUUGGAUUUCGCAUGUGAAAGAUGUUCAUUCCUUCCACAAGUUCCAUCACAGUUUGGGCUACAUAUAUGUGCACGAGUUGCAACGGAAUGUGGCCACCGAUACUCCUCUUGAUGUUCAUCUCCGUAGUUCGACCACCACUCGCUGAAAGCUGAUCACAAAGACCAUAUGCAAAAUAUGUUUUUUCAGUUUGCACUUCCAAUGCCAGAUUAUGAUGAAUUUCGACAAUCCAGAUCCCUCAAAUGUGCAGCUCAUUACAAGCUUUUGCUUUGCUUUUAACAAGAGCUCAAUGUAGUGGUCAAUUCUCUGUUUAGUGUGUACUGGUGUAUCGUCUAUGAACUUUCAUUCAACCAAUAUCAAAUAUAAAAAACCACAUACACUUACUGAGAUGUUUUUUUUAGUAAUGAAACGAAUCUGUGUUAUUUUCAUAUUUUAACUAGAGUAUUUUUGAAUA